UACGUAGGGAGCAAGCGUUGUUCGGAGUUACUGGGCGUAAAGGGUGCGUAGGCGGCUUUUUAAGUUUGGUGUGAAAUCUCCCGGCUCAACUGGGAGGGUGCGCCGAAUACUGAGAGGCUAGAGUGUGGGAGAGGAAAGUGGAAUUCCUGGUGUAGCGGUGAAAUGCGUAGAUAUCAGGAGGAACACCGGUGGUGUAAGCGGCUUUCUGGACCAUAACUGACGCUGAGGCACGAAAGCGUGGGUAGCAAACAGG
rnacentral:rRNA from 1 species